rnacentral:tRNA from 1 species
GGAGGUAGCUCACUUGAUAGAGUGCUUGCCUCGCAUGCACAAGGUCCUGGGUUCAAUCCCCAGGACUACA